AAAUAAUAAUAAAAAAUCCCUUAUAAGAAAAAUAAUAAGCAAGGGGCUGUGGGCAUGUAGUGGGCAAAGGAGGUCACGCCCUCAUAAACCGUCGCUGGUUCUGUUUGCCCCUCCCAUCAACCACCUAUCUCUCUCUAUUGCUCUCUAUCUCUCUCUGUCCGAUCCUCUCCUCUCUCCCUCUCUCUUUCUCUCUCUCCCUCUCGCCGCCAUUGUUAUAGAGAUUCAAAGCAUGACCAGCUCCUC
rnacentral:misc_RNA from 1 species